CCAUGAACUACACUUCGUUGCUAUUUAUUUGCUGCAGCAUAUGUCUCUGGCGAUGCAGUGUUGGUGUAAUUGAAAAAAUUCCACUUGUACCCGAAAUUACGAAUGCAGUAAAGGACGGCAUCAAUAAUAUCAAGAAGAUAGUCGGGCAGUAAUUGUAAUAACAGAAACCCUUUAGAUACGAGUAUUUACGAGUAUGAAAUAUAUUGAAAAUAUACUAAAUCAAAUACUACGAAAAGUUGCCUUUAACCAAGGACCUGCAAAACUCCUGUAAUGGGAUUUGUUUCAAACUAUGAGUCUGCAAAAUCUUGAAAAACAUUCAAAUAACAUACUUGAUUGACCACGAAACUAAUUCAAUGUAAAAGUUUAUUCGCUAAGGUUAUCAAAAGUCGAAUGUAAGUCCUCCAUGAACUGCACUUCGUUGGUAUUCAUUGGCUGCAGCAUAUGUCUAA